UGAAAUGCAGACACAUAGAACAAGAAAAUCCCACCAAACCACAAAUGCGUUCUCCACCAGCAGAGGAGAGAAGGGAACGGAAUGGGUCGUCACGUAUGUGGAAGAUCCGAAGUACAAAAGAGAAACGUGAGCUGUUUGAUAUUGUUGUGUGUUAAGGUGACUGGGCUGUGUGCCAUCACAAUAGAAGCAUGUAUGGCACCACCCAGGCCUAAGCCCCGACGUCACAGGAGAAAUGGGCUUCGGGGGCAUUGAACAAACCUCCAAGAGCCGAGAGGAACCACCUGCCACUGGACACUGAGAAGCCCACGUGGCCACUGACCAGAAACCGCAUGCCAUGUCCAGGGAGACUCAGUAAAGCGAUCCAGUUUGUAGAUAUGAGGCAGGGUAGACACUCAGGGAACAAUCCCCAUUGUGGGUGCUAGUUCACGUUGCCAGGGUGAGCCCAGGGAUGAUGGAGAUUCUGCAUGGAAGAGCAGGAGCAGGCCAAAGUGAAAACAUACCAUCUCAUUACGGACCUGCUGAAGACGGAGCUCACACAAAAGAAUACUGAUGCUUGCCACUGUCAGCAGGCCUGAGGUCCGCAGCACACUAAGUCUCUCAGAGGGAGAGUUCAGCACACCACAUCCCAGGAUGGGUCUCCAGGCUCCUGUCUCUCUGAGGGGUACCAUUUUCCCACAGGAGAUCCUCCUCCACCUACAUGGCGCUCAGAGAGAGGUCAUGAGAUGGUCUUUUCCGGUCCUGCCCAUCCGGCUCUUCCUGUGCCUUCUGUCUUGCCUCAGUCCUGUCUCAGCCCAUCACGUCCCAGUCAGUCACACUUUGGCUGAGGUCUCUGACACGUGAGGUCAGGCUCCAAGCCUCAUCAGCCAUGGCUCUUCCAUUGUCUGUAUGUCUAUCGGCAGAGACCAUGGUAGUGAGAUGUCAACCCCCUCUCCCACCCCCACUCCAGACUCAGUGAUAGCUACUGACUUCCACUCUGUGUAUUUUCAUACAUGUUAACUCUUCAGACCUUUUUUGUCCUUUAAGACGGGAAUCGCUAACUCUCCUUCACAGGUAAGAGUUGCAGCAAGAACAAUGGCCUCCGGAGAUAUCCACACCUUGAUCCCUACAGCCUGCGAUCAUCACCUUCUCUACCACGUCUCUUGCAGAUGUGGUGAAGCCGAAGAUCUUGAGACGGAAAUAUUCUAGAAGAUCGUGUGGGAUCGAAACACAGCCACGUGCUUUUUAUAAGGAGGCGGCAAGCCAGGCAUGGUAAUCCAAGGCUAUAAUCCAAGGUACUCGGGAGACAAGCAGCAGGAUUUCUUGGACCCAGGAGCUUGGAGACCAGUCUGGGGAAAUCGGCUGGAUCACAUAUCAAAAAUUAAAUAAAACCCAGAAAGUGAUUUUACAGGAAAGACGGCGAUGGGUCAGAUGCUGUACCAUUGGCCGGGAGCACGGAAGGAGAGACCCUCCACUACGGAAUGUAGCAUCAAGACUGGAGAGGUGGGUCUGAGGUUGAGUGCUUGCUGCUCCUUCAGAGGACCUGAGGUCAGUGCCCAGCACCCAUGUCGGGUGGCUCACAAACACCCAUAACCACAGCUCCGGGAGCUGUGACACCCUCUUCUGGCUUCUCCAGGCACUCACGUACACAUGUGUACAUACACAUCCAUAUACAGAUAAUAGUAAUUUCAAUUAUUAAAAAAUACAG